GGGGAUAUCUCAGUGGUAGAGCACGUGCUUAACACGCGUGAGGUCCUGGGUUCAAUCCCCAGUAUCUCCA
rnacentral:tRNA from 1 species